GGAAGUAAAAGCCGUAACAAGGUUUCCGUAGGUGAACCUGCGGAAGGAUCAUUAUUGUAUAACCGAGGUGCGAGGGCUGUCGCUGACCCGAAAGGUCGUGCACGCCCGAGUGCCCUCACACACAUCCAUCUCACCCCUAUGUGCACCACCGCGUGGGUCCCCCUUUGGCUUGUUCGGAGGGGGGCUUACGUUUUCACACAAACUUUGUAUGCAGUGUAGAAUGUAUUUUUUGUUUUUGCGAUCACGCAAUCAAUACAACUUUCAACAACGGAUCUCUUGGCACUC
rnacentral:misc_RNA from 1 species